UGAGGAAUAUUGGUCAAUGGGCGAGAGCCUGAACCAGCCAAGUAGCGUGCAGGAUGACGGCCCUAUGGGUUGUAAACUGCUUUUAUACGGGAAUAAAGUGGGCCACGCGUGGUCUUUUGCAUGUACCGUAUGAAUAAGGACCGGCUAAUUCCGUGCCAGCAGCCGCGGUAAUACGGAAGGUCCGGGCGUUAUCCGGAUUUAUUGGGUUUAAAGGGAGCGUAGGCCGGAGAUUAAGCGUGUUGUGAAAUGUAGACGCUCAACGUCUGCACUGCAGCGCGAACUGGUUUCCUUGAGUACGCACAAAGUGGGCGGAAUUCGUGGUGUAGCGGUGAAAUGCUUAGAUAUCACGAAGAACUCCGAUUGCGAAGGCAGCUCACUGGAGCGCAACUGACGCUGAAGCUCGAAAGUGCGGGUAUCGAACAGGAUUAGAUACCCUGGGUAGU
rnacentral:rRNA from 1 species